ensembl:snRNA U6 U6 spliceosomal RNA
GUGUUUACUUCAGCAGGACAUAUGUUAAAAUUAGAACAAAAUGAAGAAGAGUAACUAAGGUGGCUCCUGCACAAGGGUGACACACAAAUUCAUGAAGCGUUACAUAUUUUU